rnacentral:tRNA from 1 species
CAGAUGUAGUUUAGUGGUAGAAUACGACCUUGCCAAGGUUGUGGCGCGAGUUCAAUUCUCGUCAUCUG